UACAGAGGGUGCAAGCGUUGUUCGGAAUUAUUGGGCGUAAAGCGCGUGUAGGCGGCUUUGCAAGUCGGGUGUGAAAGCCCUCAGCUUAACUGAGGAAGUGCGCCCGAAACUGCAGAGCUCGAGUACCGGAGAGGAUGGUGGAAUUCCCCAAGUAGAGGUGAAAUUCGUAGAUAUGGGGAGGAACACCGGUGGCGAAGGCGACCAUCUGGACGGAUACUGACGCUGAGACGCGAAAGCGUGGGGAGCAAACAGG
rnacentral:rRNA from 1 species